AUGAUGAUGAAACACUGUUGAAUCUAAAAGGUGGGUGGGGCUGAAGAAGGGGUGAGAGGAGGCCUUAGAAGCUAAUUAGAAUCCUCCAGAAGUGUGUGGAAAUGGGAACCUGAGCCAGGAGAGUCCUGUGGAUUCACUAGAUUCUGGGACUGUACCUUAUCUAUGCUGUGCAAAGGAAUAAGAAACUAGUGCUGUCUCGGGAACCAGCAACACAGAUGUUCCCAGGAGCAAUGUUUGCAGGCUUUUCUUCCACUUCCUGCUCCUCCACCAGACCCUGCUUGAUUCUGCAAGACUGAUGUUUGGUUAAUCUACUGAAGGGUUCUAUGAGGCUGAAAAUAUUGGAUCAGUAUUCCUGAGGAAUCUGCGUUUCAGAAUCCCAGGUCCUGAAGGACAAGAAGUACUUUGCAAACAAAUCAAAUGUACGUUUAGGAAGAUGAAAUCAUGCAACAGAAAGAUUUUUCAGAAUUUUUCAGCAACAGAUUUUACACACAAUUCAGAAGGAAGAAAGAACAGAUGAGUUUGGGAAUCAGGAGACCAGAUGUCAAGACUGGACUACAUCUUUAUAUUCAUUUCCAGAUUUAAAGUUCUAUGUUGUAUUUUAUUUGAUGCAAAGCAAUAAAAUAUUCCUCCCUCCUGUGA